rnacentral:rRNA from 1 species
UACGGGGGGAGCAAGCGUUGUUCGGAUUUACUGGGCGUAAAGGGCGCGUAGGCGGUCGUGACAAGUCACUUGUGAAAUCUCCGGGCUUAACUCGGAACGGUCAAGUGAUACUGUCGGACUAGAGUACAGAAGGGGCAACUGGAAUUCUCGGUGUAGCGGUGAAAUGCGUAGAUAUCGGGAAGAACACCCGUGGCGAAGGCGGGUUGCUGGGCCGACACUGACGCUGAGGCGCGAAAGCCAGGGGAGCGAACGGG